UUAGUGGCGAAGCUAACGCGUUAAGUUAUCCGCCUGGGGAGUACGGCCGCAAGGCUAAAACUCAAAGGAAUUGACGGGGACCCGCACAAGCGGUGGAGCAUGUGGUUUAAUUCGAUGCAACGCGAAGAACCUUACCUGGUCUUGACAUACAGAGAACUUUCCAGAGAUGGAUUGGUGCCUUCGGGAACUCUGAUACAGGUGCUGCAUGGCUGUCGUCAGCUCGUGUCGUGAGAUGUUGGGUUAAGUCCCGUAACGAGCGCAACCCUUAUCCUUAUUUGCCAGCACUUCGGGUGGGAACUAUAAGGAGACUGCCGGUGAUAAACCGGAGGAAGGCGGGGACGACGUCAAGUCAUCAUGGCCCUUACGACCAGGGCUACACACGUGCUACAAUGGGAAGGACAAAGGGUCGCUAAGCCGCGAGGUGGUGCUAAUCUCAUAAACCUUUUCGUAGUCCGGAUCGGAGUCUGCAACUCGACUCCGUGAAGUCGGAAUCGCUAGUAAUCGUGGAUCAGAACGCCACGGUGAAUACGUUCCCGGGUCUUGUACACACCGCCCGUCAUACCAUGGGAGUGGGUUGCACCAGAAGUGGGUAGUCUAACUUAGGAGGACGCUCACCACGGUGUGAUUCAUGACUGGGGUAAAGUCGUAACAAGGUA
rnacentral:rRNA from 1 species